rnacentral:rRNA from 1 species
UUAUAUGGAAAUAACUGCUGUCAUGGACCACAAUGAUUCGAUUACAGAAUCUAAUCUAAUCAAGCUAGGCCUAGCUAGUACUUGGAUGGGAGACCUUGAAAAAGGGGGAAUCUGUAACGU